rnacentral:rRNA from 1 species
UACGGGGGGGUAAGCGUUGUUCGGAAUUACUGGGCGUAAAGGGUGCGUAGGCGGCGCGGUAAGUCGGGUGUGAAAUCUUGGAGCUUAACUCCGAAACUGCAUUCGAUACUGCCGUGCUUGAGGACUGGAGAGGAGACUGGAAUUUACGGUGUAGCGGUGAAAUGCGCAGAUAUCAGGAGGAACACCAAUGGCGAAGGCAGCUCGCUGGGACGUGACUGACGCUGAGACGCGAAAGCGUGGGGAGCAAACAGG